rnacentral:rRNA from 1 species
AGCGAACGCUGGCGGCAGGCCUAACACAUGCAAGUCGAACGAAGCCUUCGGGCUUAGUGGCGGACGGGUGAGUAACACGUGGGAACGUACCUUUUGGUUCGGAACAGCUCAGGGAAACUUGAGCUAAUACCGGAUGAGCCCCUAGGGGGAAAGAUUUAUCGCCGAAAGAGCGGCCCGCGUUAGAUUAGCUAGUUGGUGAGGUAAAGGCUCACCAAGGCUACGAUCUAUAGCUGGUCUGAGAGGAUGAUCAGCCACACUGGGACUGAGACACGGCCCAGACUCCUACGGGAGGCAGCAGUGGGGAAUCUUGCGCAAUGGGCGAAAGCCUGACGCAGCCAUGCCGCGUGAAUGAUGAAGGUCUUAGGAUUGUAAAAUUCUUUUACCAGGGACGAUAAUGACGGUACCUGGAGAAAAAGCCCCGGCUAACUUCGUGCCAGCCGCCGCGGUAAAAC